AUGCACGCUGGCGGCGUGCCUAAUACAUGCAAGUAGAACGCUGAAGGAAGGAGCUUGCUCUUUCCGGAUGAGUUGCGAACGGGUGAGUAACGCGUAGGUAACCUGCCUGGUAGCGGGGGAUAACUAUUGGAAACGAUAGCUAAUACCGCAUAACAGUAGAUGUUGCAUGAUAUCUACUUAAAAGGUGCAAUUGCACCACUACCAGAUGGACCUGCGUUGUAUUAGCUAGUUGGUGAGGUAACGGCUCACCAAGGCGACGAUACAUAGCCGACCUGAGAGGGUGAUCGGCCACACUGGGACUGAGACACGGCCCAGACUCCUACGGGAGGCAGCAGUAGGGAAUCUUCGGCAAUGGACGGAAGUCUGACCGAGCAACGCCGCGUGAGUGAAGAAGGUUUUCGGAUCGUAAAGCUCUGUUGUAAGAGAAGAACGAGUGUGAGAGUGGAAAGUUCACACUGUGACGGUAUCUUACCAGAAAGGGACGGCUAACUACGUG
rnacentral:rRNA from 1 species